UGAGAUACAGUUCAGUGCAGAGUAUGUGUCUAGCACACACAAAAGCCUGGGUUUGAGUCCCAAUACCCCAA
rnacentral:tRNA from 1 species